UACUGUUAAUGAUGACAUUGUACAGAACAAUGGGAAUCUCUCUGAAAGGGACUGAAGAUAAUUCUCAACUGAAACAGUA